rnacentral:lncRNA from 1 species
GUUGCAACAGAAAUGAAACUAGAACAGAAUGGAAUCUCAGCCUUGUCUGUGGAGAAAGGCUGGCUACUAGGGAAGGUAGCUGUGGGGAUCCAACUCUAACCUUUUGGCCAUGAGUGUUAAGGCGUAGGAAGACGGAACUACAAUUCCCAGGAUACCACUCGGCCAAUGUAUCGCUUUGCUCCACCCUCUGACCAUGCUCCUUGGACUGGCAGUCUGUCUGUAUAAAAACGCGGAGCGGCCCAGCGGUGCGCAGAGCUGUGGUGGCGCAGCAUGCGCACUGUUUUCUUCGCUUUGGGGUGGACGCUGUCUGGGCACCUCCAGGGCUUUCCUGCCUCGUGAACGUCCUCCCUGUGCCGCCCGAUCCCCGCGGACCUACAAACCCCGAGGCCUCGAUGGGAUAUUCUGGAUUCUCCGGAGGGUUUUUUUCUAGCGCAGACUGGGUGUUUGUGCUGUCGAUGCUCACAGAAGAAAGGCGCAGAGCUGUGCUAGGAGACUGGAUGCGCCCGUCAGAGUCCUCGGCGGCCCUCGCCCGCAGCUCUUGGCGCAGGUCCGCUCCCGGGGACCGCGCUGAAGCCUCCGGGGAGUCCGGGCGCAUGGUCUACGCUCUACCUACGCGGGUCCUCGGCGCGAUAGCGGCGCUUUGGCUUCGGGCGCUGGAUGGUCAGGGAGAAAGAGGUGAGGGCGCCGGAUUUUCUAACAUGGAUUACUUGGUGCUUAUCAACUGGAUUUAGAAGGCCCAGGACCUCGUCUCCAUCAUCCAUGGUUGUCUUUUCAUCUCCCAGCUGCCCUCCCACCUGGAGUUCUGGAAGCCAGAAGUCCAAAACCAAGAUAUUAAGAAGCUUGUGUUGUCUCCAUGGGCUCCAGGAAGGAUCUGUCCCUGCUUCUUCCAGAAUCUGCUGGCUCAGCUUUCUGCCGCCAUCUUCAUGUGGUCUUCCCUCAACAACAACAGCAACUCCACUGAUACCUGCACAUUUGUUCAGGAAUUACCUGCACUAACUCACACCCCAGAAACCCACAAGGGAAUGCAUACUGCAUAGUAGUUAGAGGUAUGUAACUGGUGUUUAUUGGAAUGUGGUGGAGGCCAGGGGUGGAACCUGAUGAUACAAGUGUACUGCCCUGUUGAAUGAGUUCAGACAGUAAGUUAACAUACAGAAAUAACAGAAUAGGAGUCUGUGUAAAAGGACCAAUGGAGGACUAGGAAGCUGGCUCCUUUGGUAAAAUGUUUGCCUUGAAAGCAUGGGAACCUGAGUUCAAUUCCCCAUAUCUGCAUAAGGAAAAAAAUGAAGGUGAGAGUUGUGAGUAGUGGAGGGGUUACUGCAUACAGCAGGAGCACGCGCACACAUAGAAACACACACAUGUGCACCUGCACAUAGCAUAAGUAUGCACACAUGAGUGGAUACACAUGAGCACACACAUGAGCACACACAUGAAAGUUCCCACUCAAAACAGAAUAGCUCAAUAUACAACCAUCCAUUAUUUUGCUAUCAAUGUCUGUUGUUAAUAACUUGAAAAAUAAGAUCAGCAUCCAUUGUCAUACUGUUUGUAUUUAGUUAAUUCCAGGUUUGGGUUUUAUCUUUUAAAAGCCAUAUUUCUUUGAAAGUAGGUUUGGAUUUGUCAUGACCCCAAGUGAGUGGAUUUCUUCUGCAGUGUAGUUUCACUGCAUAUUAAACAAUGAUUGCAGCUAGCUGUCAGUCAGAAGAAGUGGCUCAUGCUUAUACAUCAGCACUUUGGAAGCUGAGGCAAAAGGUGUGUGAGUUCAAGGCCAGUCUGGGCUACAGAGAGAAAGCCUGUUUCAUGAAUGAAUGGAAAUGGCAACCCUUAAGCCUCUGUGUCCCUAAAAGACCUGGCGUUUAGGGUCAACCCCCACCAAUGGCAAGUCUGAUGAUGGUGUGUUCAGUAUUGCUCUACUUCCAGAUUUAACCUUCCCCUUAUUGUUCUAGGUAAAACCAGAGGUUUCUGCUGACAUGGAACAUGGACAAGAGAAUGGUGAGUUGUGAGUAGAUGUCUCAGUGUACCUGUGUUUCUUCUGUUUUAUUUUUCUUGUUGUUGCUGUUUUCUGAGGUGGACUCCUGUUUUUUGUACGCCCUCUGGUAUAGACACAUCCCUAACACUCUGCGUGCCUAUCUAGAGCACAGGCAGGUGCCUUGCUGUUUGCUAUGGGAGUGUAAAUACAGCAAGCAGUUAAUGCAAGCAAGGCUGUGCUCCGUGCUCUCCUGAUUGUCACUCAGGUUAAUAUAAUUGUGCACACCCCCGUGGCUCUAGCAGAUAUGUUACAGUAUGACCAAAGACAAGACAAAGACAUUGAGGUAUAGUCACAUGCUUAAGAUGGCGUGGGUCAUUUGGGAAACAGCCAAAACUCAAAGCCAAGUCCAUAUCUUUGCUGUUCUGUAUUGCCUUUUUGCAUGAUGGAGGGACCCCUCCCCCAACAAGUUCUUGCUGCCUGUCAGAAUUCACUACAGGGACAGUCUUGUUGUGCACAGGGAGAAUCACCAGGCAGGUGACCCCCAACCUGUACACACAGGGGAUAGGUGGCAGGUGGACCACACCUGCUGCCCUUCAGGAGUGCAGAGACUACCCGUAUUAAACAGGAUCUCAGAGCUUUCUGGAAAACUGCCAACCGGGUCUGGUCCUAAUAAUGCUGGCUGUAGAACAGAUGCCUCUCCCUUUAUCCAAGGGCCCAUAACUGUCUAGAUUCCUCCAUCCAAUGUGGUUACAGCACUUCUGGCCAUAAAUCUUAGUGGUAGGUCCUGAGUGGGAAGCUCAGACUAUGGACAGGUUUGCCUAGAGCCACCAGAUCAUCCCAGUGUCUCCUACAGAGCGUGGGAAUGGAGCUGGAACCCGACAGGUCACAAGAGGAGGACAGCGUGGUACUUUUCCUAGUUCCUGGGACAGAUGCAUCAUUUGACAAGUGGCAGUGCUUUUUCUUGUUUUAAUCUUGGCGGUUAUGGAUCUGAUUGAAGAUGAAUUCCUCUGUAAGAUGGUGAUGCUAAAGGUCUUGUUCUUUGGGAGACCAGGAAUCGAAUGAAAACCAAACCAAGGUCUACUAGUGUGCACAGUCUUGACAGUCCUGGCAGAGAGUUCAUCUCCCAGCCUUCUCCUCCCUACUCCCAGUCACCCCUCUGGUGUUAGCUUUUGGGGAACCAGCUGGGGUACCCAUGAUAUGCUCUAAUCUAGGGACUCCAGUCUUUUUGCAUAGUGUUUGCGUCUUCCCAAGCCUCUUUCUUAAACCUAAUAUUCCAUGGGUCACUUGAUGCCUUUAAGAAACCCAUCGUGACUAUCCAUUUGUUGUCCCGGUAUCCUUGUCUCCUUGUCAUCAUCUCAUGUCCCAUCAGUUAAGAGUCCCCUGCUUCCCAUCUUACCCACAAGACAAGAUUCUUCCUGCUCUCUGUGUCUCCACAUCCUUCCCUUCUGCACCGUGACCAUCACAUUCAUGUGUGCCCGUAAGCACACAUGUCCCAUAAGGCUGGCUUCUCCUUCACCUGGCCCUUCAGGAUGUCAUCUGCAAGGCCGCUUCUGAAUCCCCUCAGGGCUCUAGGCAGUAGGUGUGGAAGGGCAUCUUGUCCCUGAAUCUAUGCAUUCCAACUCCUCCUAUCGUCAGUUUUCAUCUGAAAAUCCAAGGAGCGCAGAGAAGGUACCCGAGUGACAGUGAGCUCCCUCAUGGGAGCGUGACCUCGUACUCAAUGACUGUUGUUGAAAGAUUGUUUUAGCUGCUGUCUGGGCUUGGUCACUAGAGGACUAUGUGCAUAUUGGGGUCAGGAAUAGUUAAUAAGUGUCUUGAGGGGAUUUCCAGGCAAACCAUGGGUACCGCCACCCAUCUGAAAACAAGUCUUACCCUUUAUCAGCCCUUAGGCUUCCUCCUCAACCCAAAGGCCAGAAUAUCCCAUAGGAUGUAGCUUUUCCCCCCAUACCUAAAUGGCAGUGGUUCCUUUCUUUGUUCAUUCAUUCUGCAGCUAUACAUUGAUGUCUGCCAUCCCUGAGAUUAAUAGGGUGAGUGUAGGUGAUAUGUAGUAAAAACAAAGUUUUCAAACAACUAAAGAGGAUACAAACAGCUGAUGGUAUUGCAGACGAAUAUGGAGCCGGGAAACCCAGCCCAGCGCAGCUGGAGGGAGGGGUGAGCACAGGUUAUAGCUUUCAUUAGAGGGAGAUGGAGACCUGAAGGAGGGACGGAGGACACCCUGCAUGCUUUUGUGAAGACUCUUUGGGACAGAGGGAAUGGUCGCAUUAGCGGAUCAAAGCAGGAGCAUGGAAGCUCAGGGUGGACUUGCGAAGCAGAGCAGAUAGAUGUGUGAGCAUCUCAGUGAGGGCUGAUGCGCAAGAGAACCAGGCCAGGGAGAGCCUGGAGGCCCUAGACCCUGCUGUUGAGAGAGCGCAGCAGCGCUGGUGCGGUGUGCUAGGGUCUGACUCUCCCUCCUAAGGUCCUUUCUCAGGGGCUGGUAUCGAAGCCCAGAAGAGCAGGUGGCUGGGAGGAGAGGGUCUAAACUGUGUGUGUGUUUGAGAGAGGGGGGAGGGAGGGAGGGUGAGAGAGAGAGAGAGAGACAGAGACAGAGGCAGAGAGACAUAAUGUGCCCAUCUCCCUCCUACCCUGUCAUAUACAGAAUGGUAGUGAUGAUGGCAAUGGUCCAGAAAGCCCUGGUCACAUCUCAGGAGCUUCCAUAACUGCUGAAUUUAGAUUCGCCUCUGGCAUUGGGCUCUGGGCUUAAUGUCAUCCCCAAUACACACACCCUGCAGGCCUACUGGCAAAGGAAAUGGGAACAUGGGUAAGAGGAGAGUGGCCAAAUGCCUAUGUUUUCUUGUUCUGCAUAUCUUCGGGCAUGGGUAGGUGCUAGGGGCAUUCAAGGGACACCUAGAAGUUUCACCAUCAGGCCUUGGAGCAGCUAACAGUGCUGAGGGUGCUCCUGUGUGGGCUCCUCCCAUCUCUGAGGGCUGCCCUGGUCUUGCAGCUCCCCAGUCUUUCUCUCACCUGACUUUUCCCUCUGAGAACGAGCUGCGCUAAUUGACAGCUGUAGAAAUUAUGGGGUCAGCCAUCAUGCUACAACAGCCAUCAAGGAGAGACGGGCUCAGAGUGCCUCGCUCAAGUUAACCCUGGAUACAGAGGGUCUUCCCGAGAAUGUAUCCCUGUGCCUCCAGCCUUGGCUGUUGUUAGCAACUGUGUGAUGGAAAUUGAGCCUGUAAGACAUUGAAGUCUGGUGUCUAUCUAGGGAGAACUAGGUGCGUAUCUGGGUAAAGCCUUGGAAAUGGGUGCUCUGUUGAUAGUGUUUGGAGAAGGAGGGAAGAAUCUUGGCCCCUGUGUUCCUACCAAGGCCAAGGCCAGGUGUGUUUCUGGGCAACUCCUGGGGACAGCUUCCCACCCAGUGCCUUGCCCUGCUGCCUCAGUAAUCUUACAGGAUUAGAGGGCUGGCUCUGCCUACUUCCUUUCAAAGAGCUGUGACAUCAUUGCCUUCUAGCCCCCAAGGCUCCUCCUGUGUGGUGUCAGAGGGAGGAAGGACUGUUGUAACUGAUGAAAAAUCUGACACCCUGGGAGGACAUGCCCUUUCCUCAACUCCAUCCAUCAUGUGUGCUUUGGGGGGGGUGGGGGGGGCGCUGCCACUCAGAUGACAACUUCCACUAGGCAGGGAGUUGAGAGGGGAAAGCUGGGAGCCCAAGCCGGCAUCAUUAGUUGCAGGGGUGAGCUCAGCCUGGGACUAGUGUCAUCCCAGGGGUUUGUAGCUGGAACUUCCCUAUGGGAUCCAACUGUGAGUCACUGUGGUUGGUGUCCCUGCACCGAACUUCUUCUCUAGGUCUCCCACUGUCCCCUGGGACAUCAUGGUCACAGGUCAGGGCUAGUGACUCACUGGCUACCUCAGCCAACUCCAGGGGUGGAGUCUUCUAUUCUCUCACCUCCUGGCAUGUGGACCCUCCUUGGUGUGAUGGCCACAAUUAGGCUGGCUGCUGUCUCAGAAGCUAUGUGCAAAAUGUGUGGGCCAGCAGAAGGCCCUGUCACCCUGGGGUGGCCAAGCAGAAGCCGCAGCAGUGGCAGAUGUGUUCCAGAGGCUAUGUGGGAAGUUCAGGGUGCUCUGUGGGACAGCCAGCUGCAGCCACUGGGGCCAAGAUGGAGGCUGACCAAGGGCUGUUCCUGCUCACCCAUGCUACUCACCAGAAGCUCUGUGGAAAAGUGGAAACUAUGUCCCUGGUCUUCCUUUCAGGACUUGGCUGAGAUCAGGCUACUUCUUGAGAGGCCUGGAUUCAACUGAGGAAUAUCAUUUUGGAAAAUAUAGAAACUUCUAGACUGUGGAGACACUUGGGAAGGAAUGAUCUGUGUUGACUUGAAUGAAAAAAGACAUCUCUGGAUUUUACCCACAGCUGGUGAAGGCUCACCAUCCCAACUCAUCUUCUGUCGUGUAGAAAAGUCCCUGAUGCCACUACCCAGAAUGCUCUUCUCCACCUGCCCCUGUCCCAGGCACCGCAUCCUUCCCUGCCUGACCCCACCUCACCUUUGGACCCAAAGAUGCUUCUUAUUUGCUCUAUUAUCUUCGAGCCGGAUGCAGAGUGAAUAGUUAACUAUUCUUGAGUUGAAUGGGUCUUGAUUUUUUUUGUUGCUGUUCCUUGUAAAGAGAUCAUUCUCAGUGCAUGGCACGCAGCCUGGAAAAGGUAUGUGACUCCAGAGUGACACGAGAGCCAGCGUGAAGGCCCUGUUAGCUCUUGGAGGCCAGGGAAAGUGGAGACAGCUGAGCCGGGAGUUGAGUAGAGCUGGCGCUGGCUGUGGUCUUGCACUGGUUGGAUCCACAUGCAGGUGUACAUUUGGACUGGUAGAGGUGAAGCCAUUUUCUGUGACACAAAGGGAAUGAGCUAAAAGACCUUCUUCAGAGGUGGCAGUUGGCAAUCAGCUCAUCCAGGGCUGUGUGACUGAGCCGCCAGCUCCAUUGGUGUUGCCUUCUGUGCAUGUCCUCGCUGUCCUGUGUGCUGUCAGCAGCCGGAGCCUUUUCCUCCUCCCUCCUCUGUGGCCUCUACUUGUGCAGUUGGAAAUCCUUCCUAAUCAUGUCAUGACUCCACCUUCUUGACUGUGCACUCGAAGAUGUUUGAGACUUUUUUUUAUUUAUAAAAUGGAUGGAUAGUUUGUUUCCUCGAAUUGUCAUUGGCAUGAUUCUAUGGCUGUGUUCAGUGACUUUACAGUGGGGCAUUGUCUUUGGCCUCUCAGAUUCUCCAUGGUGGAAUUGAAGAGACUUCCUAAAGAUGUUUAAUGCUGCUGAAAUCCAAAGAAGGCUUACAAACAUCCACCUGCCCUCCCUCCCUCCCCCUCCAUCCCUCCUUCCCUCCGUCCCUCCCUCCUUUCCUAAGCACACAGUGCCAUUGUCUGUGUUGUAUGAGUUUCUUCAGGUUUGAAGGAAUGGUGACCCACUCCUAUUAUCCCUAUAGGUCUUUUCUAACAGUGGGUAAGGUAAUAGAAAUGGUUGGAGGGACUGCCCAGAUGGCCUGCCCUAUAAUCCCAUAGUUAGACCAUAUACUCAAGAACUACAGGGAUGACAAGGACGGUAGCAUCCAGACCGUCAUGUGCCUCCCUAUACAGUAGGAAAUAGUGUUUCUAACUCCCACAUUCCACUCUGUGGAGCUGGGGAGAUCCAGUCAUCCCAGACUGCCAAGGACAUGGGAUUUCUUGGGACAAGAGAUUUGGGGGAGCUAAACCUGGGGCUGACUUAGGAAAAGUGUCACGAUUGGUCAUCCUACUGAGUGAACCAGUGACCAUAUCUCUUCUGCUGCAGCAGCAAGGGAAAGCUUCUAGGUUGCUUGGCCAAUUCCUAUUCAGAGCUGUAUAUCUGGUCACUCUUUGGACACAGGUCUGAGCGGAUCAGGUGCUCCAUCCUGACCAAAUCUGUUAUCUGUAAGAUGGUAAGUUUGUCUUGUACUGAAGAAAAUCUGAAGUGUCAUGGGCCAGAAAAUAUGAAGUGUCGUGGGCCAGUUGAGACCAUGUCCUUCCGAGGAGUUUGUAUACAGUGGGCAUGGCAGAAAUUCAAAAUACCUGGGAUUGCUCUAGGGCAGUCCUAUGUAGGUGACACUUACCUCUUAUUCAAAAUGAAACUGCCCUUGAAGAAGCAAACCCACAGCCACCAGGAUAGUACAGGAUGCAUGGCACCAUGUUCAUGUUUGCAUGUGUGUGUGUGUGUGUGUGUGUGUGUGCUUAACACCUGUGCAAACAUGUGCUAUAGAGAAUAAACCAAGAUCAAAAAUUUGCAUCUUCGCUAGACAGAGACAAAGAGCUGAAAUCUUAGGGACGAUGUCUGGAAAGCAAGGGACUUGGCUAGGAGACUUCCUGGAAGUCCUUUGAAGUGUAGCUUUUAUUUAGACUAUCAAGGGCAUUUCAGCUGGGGAUAAGUGUGUACUUUCUCUCUAGAGUCCUCCCCGAUAACCCUGAUAACCUGGGUUCAACUCAGAAACCACUGAGUGGGACCUCCCAGCUCACUCUCCCCUUCUCAGUCACUAGCAUCAGGGAGUGGGAGGAACUUCAAGGAGGUGAGGACGGGCGGGGUCAUGCCAAUCCAAUUCGGGGUGUUCAUGACAAGUAAGAGCAAUUGAAAGGUAAAUUACAGGUUCUUUUGCAGCUUGAAAAAGCCAGGUUUUCAGGAUCACCUGGCACCUGAAGCUGUUGCUGCCUGUCAGGGCUUUCAGCCCACAUCUUUCUGCUGAAGGCUAAGCAUGAGGGUCCAUGAUGCUGGAGCAUGGCGUCCCACUAAUUCUUCUCAUCUUGAGUUGAAGGCCACAGGCGGUUAAUUACAUACUAGGGUUGCAAUGAGAUCCAGGGGUUUUGGCAUAAUUCUUGGAUUGGGAAGAAUACUAGCCUGUAUCCUUCUCUUUGGGCACCAUCUUUGAAAAGAUGACCAUGGGAUUGGGGAGAUGGCUCAAUCAAGAAACUAUGUGAGGACCAGUGUGUGGUGGUAUACAGUUAUUAACCCAAUGCUUGAGAGACAGAUUCCUGGGCUUCACUGCUCAGCCAGCCUGGCCUACUUGGCAAGUUCCAGGCCAAUGAGAGACCCUGUCUCAAAAAAACAAGGGGGCUAGAGAGAUGGCUUGGUGUUUAAGAGUGCCUGCUGCUCUUGCAGAGGACCACAGUACAGUUUCCACUCCCCACACCAGGCAGCUCACAACUGCCUGGAGCUCAAGUUCUAGGGCAUCACACACCUUUUUCUGACCUCCACAGAAACUUUGGUCUCUGCUCAAGCACACAUGUGCAUGCAUGCAUGCUCACUCUCUCACUCUGUCUCUCUGUCUCCCUGUCUGCCCCCCCAAAAGAUGAUCAUGUUUCAGCUGACCCCCUUCAUAUGUACCCUGUCACCCUUUGAUCCUAGAAGAAGCUUUGCCAUUGAGAUAGAGACAGCUGUUUCCUACUCCCUUUUCCUCCACAUAGAGCCCCCGGAUCUCAGCAGCUAAAGUACCCUACCUCAUCAGUUUUCUGGAACAAUCUAUUCACACAGGAAUCUCCUUUUAAAUUCUGACCAGAUGUCAUCCAGGCCUGGGGAGGCAGCCUUUGGUUGAGAGGGAAUUGUGAAGGGGGCUGAACAGUAUUUACCACCAUGGUGGGAAGAAGAGAAUUUGAAAGAGCAAUUCAGAGGCUGCCACGUGGCCGUGAUUGUCAACUCCUCAACAACAUUUUUGAGCUAAUAUAUUUUGUCUUCUCCCCUAAUCAGUCUCCUAUUUUUGGAUCCUAGUGGUAUGUGUAUGCUGGUUUAAAAUAAAAAUCACAGGGCAGGGAAACAGGAGACCUGAGAUUUUGAUGUCAGAAAGUCCCUCAUUUUAGCUCCUUGUAUUUAACAUGCAGGGCUGGGCACAGGUGCCUAGGACCAUCUCCUGACGACAUUCACAUUGCUGUUGUAUUUGAAGGACAAGCCAUCAGUUUUCUAGGAGUUGGUGUCUUAAAGAUCUACUGUAUUUUCUGUAGUGGAAGAGACCAUUAGCGGAUAUCCAUGGGCCAAUGGAAAUCACCCCAUCCCCGUGCUGACCACUCUCAACCUGAUCAUGACUCAGGUAUCGUGAUCAUAACGACAUUUCAAAUUUACUCUGCUCCGCACCCCUGGGAUCUUAUGGGGCAUUUGAACUUGACUCCAAACCAUAGGAACACUCUGCUCUACAAACAGACCUGGGGACCUUUCUAUGGAGAUAUGAGUAUGGAAUUACUACAGAUGGGAAGAUGUUUAUGGGGAAGUGUGGCCUCCUGCUCAGGAGACUGCAGGGCAGAGAGUACCUUUGGAAAUGACCACCGACUCUGUAGGCUUGUGGAAAACAUGUGGAGGGAAGCCUAAGGAGAUCCUUGAACUUUUGAUAGGUUGAGGAGUGGUCUGGAUACCUGGGAUCUAGUCCUUUGCCUCAACCAGCUCAAGGUCAUGUGUCAGUCACUCCACCCUGCCUCUGUGGCUCAGUUUUUCUUCGUACAUGCAAUGGAGCAGGGAAGUAAAGACGUUGCCUGUGAGUCAGGUUUGUCGCCCUGCCUGCCCUGGCUGCUGUCUAUUUCCUGAUUGGUAGCUCACUGUCCCUUCAGCUGCACAAAUUGGAAUUAAGACUGUCCCAUCCCAGGGAAGUCCAUUACCAAAGAAUACUUCAAAGAUGUUUGCACAUGUUGUCAGUUGCACUGAGCAUGAGUUUGUUGAAGGAAAAGGCAAAUAGACACACAGCUGGUGACGGGAAAUAAUGGGGGCUGUUUAGCCCUGAGUGACUGCAAGGCAAGGGGGUAAAAAAAAACCAAGUCUGCCUGUCAUUUUGACCAAUAAGUAAAAAUGGGGAGUGCUGAAUAGUUAAAGCCAUUGGGGAUUUAUUAGUUUGCCUAGUGAAGGGCAAAUAUUAAGUCUGAAAUUGACCCAUCCUGGGACCUGCCUUUUGGCUUUUGUGACCUGCCAGGUGCUGAUCUCUGCAGACUCCAAGUUACUAAGUUCUCUUCGGUUUCUUUUUUAAAGUUGUGUUCUGUCUCCCUCUUUGGUCCCUCCUUUACCUAUCCUUUCCACCUCCCACCCUUCCCAGAAACUCAAGUAUGGAUUUUGGAGGAGGUGGAAGUCUGCCGGAUCAUAAAAUUCUUUGUACCAAGGGCUCUGACUGGCCUGGGGUUGAGCUGCCUGCAAUUGGGUGGCCUUGGGAAGUGAGCUUACUAGGUUGCCGUACAGAUUCUCCAUCUUCUGACCUGGACUUUAGAGUGCUAAUAGGCAAAGGAUUUGUCCCUCAUUAAACUUACAGUGAGUACAGUGGCAAGUGUUAGAAAGGCCAGACCAUAGCUAUUUCUAAAUCAUAACUCUCUGUCCUAGGAGACCAUACUUGCCUCUCCAUGACAAGUAACUUCAGCACGCAUGUCCAGAGAGGUACUACUUAAGGAGGGGUCCACUGGACCUAUGACUAUUAGAACAGGGGGGGAUGAGCAGUCUACCUAGCUUCCAAGAAUCAGGCAGAAUUUGAGCAUCCCCAGUAGCAAGCAGCCCACUACAUUUGUGGGGUGCUUGGGUCUCCCUUGGGGUGCAGUACUGCUGGGCACAUAGCUCUAUGUCAGACCCUCAGGGCUCUUAUCUAGAGCUGCUCCAGGAGGCUUCCCAGGAAAGUAAGUCUUCCUUCCCUGCCCCAGACUUUACAGACAACUCUCCAUCUAUUGUUCAUGCAGCCCACAGUGGGGAAUGUUCUGGAACUGCUUCAUGACGAAAGUCCCUCUCGUAUUCCAGUAAUGAGCUUUUAUUGAAUGGGGUGUGUUAGCUUUCCAUAGCUUUAGCAAAUAACAGAGAUAAUCAGCGUUUAAAGAAAAAAGGUUUAUUUUGGCUCGUUGUUUUGGAGGUUCCGGUCAGAGCCAUUGCUUGGGGACAAACCUGAGUAGAAGCCUACGGCAGAGCAAAGCCACUCAUUUCAUGGCUGGAUAAAGAAAGAAGGUCCUGAGUCCAAUUCCACAGUCUCCCCAAGGGCAUUUCCCCAAUGGCAUGAAGACUUCCAGGAGACCCAGACCUUAACACAUAAGCCUUUGGUUGGUGUGGGGUGGAGGAUAGUUCCAGAUUCAACCUGCAGCGUACCAUGUGAUUUCAAAUCCUUUGUCCCUCUGUACAGAGGAGCCAGUGUUUUGAAGGAUAGCUGGUCAGCUUGUCUCCAACUCUCCCUUUUCUAUGAAGCCUUCCUUGAUUUUUCCUUUCCUCUCAAUCAGUUGGGACAGCCCUCUCAUAUAGUUUAUGAAGCAUGUUGCAGCAUGUAUGUAAGUAUGUAUGUGUGUCCCUCCUCCCAUAGUUAGUAUCAAAUUAACUACCUUGAGGUUGAAUUAUUCUGGGUGUCUCCUCUCUGCUUUCUUCUGUCUCCUCUAACCUCUUCCGUUGGAACAAGAACCUAGUUACUCCCUGUUGAUUGGAAGUUGACCCCAGGUUGCCCCUGUGGUGUCCAGCUCUCACAAUGAGCAGUCUGGUCUGCUGUUCACAGACGUUCUCUGGUCAUUGGAAGACAGGCCCAGAGGAGCCCAGUGCCUUGUCCAAGCCUUACCCAGGUGAGGACUGGUAUUAAGCAGCAGCGGGGUCACUGACAUGGCAAAUGAACCAGCAAGGUGUGGAAUUGACUUUCCCUGUUUGCAGUCUGUCACUGCGUGUAGUGCCACAUCUGCCUGCCUUUUGUUUGCUGUCUAAUAAUCAAUAAAAUGUUAUCAGAACAGAAGAGAAAAUAUGUGAGCUUGACUGUUUGGUUUCCAUGAAGAAAGUGGAAUGCGGCUGGGUUUUCCUGGUCUAACUGCAAAGCUAGGCUCAUGUCUAAGGAGGGCGUAAAUUCAAAGGCUUAGAUCAAGGGGCCAGGGACUUGGUUCCUUUGGUAAAGUGCUUACCACAUAAGCAUGCUGGCUGCUAUAACAAAACACCAUCCAAUCCCAGUGUCUACCUGAGGUUUUCUUAUCUACUCUUCAGUUGAAUGUGAGUUGGCAUCAGUGGAUGCAGAGAAAGCUCUUUGCAGAAAUGUUGGGGCUGAAGGAGUUCUUAAUUGGUCUAUAUAAUAAAAAGGCAGAGUUAGACAUAGAGAGAAAUGCUAGAGAUCAGAGAGGAGAAGCCAGCCACAGCACACCUUACCUCCUAAGCAUCUCAGCAGAGAACAGUUUCCUGUUUCUCCCUGCUUAUAUCCUGUUUCUGCCCAGCUACACAAUUUCCUGUCUGUCUGUACAGACCUCUAGACCUCUAUGGUUAGCUAGUGGCAAGCUCCAUUCUCUGACCCCCAGACAGGCUUUAUUUGUGCAAGAAAGAUAUCACCACACAUGACACUAUUACUCCAAUCCUCUCUCUUCUGUUCACAUUGCAUUGGCAGGAAUUGGUCAGUAUGCUCCACUUGGAUGCAGGAAUCUGAGAAAUUCCCAGCUCUGUUACACAAAUGCUGGUGAACACUAGCAGUUUCUGCCACACACACACACACACCAAAUAUCCACUGUGACAACUGGGGUGUCCUUUAUUGCUUUCAUCAUGGUGGCCUUUCUGCUCCAUAAAUUCUGGCCUCUUGAAUGUGCUGUUGUCACAGCUGGUAUAUAUAGGUUCAAAGGUAUAAGGAAAGCAAGGCAGAGAUGAAGCAAAGCAGAGCCCCGAGUUUCACUUACUUUCAGCAGUGACCCCAUGUAAUUCAUUCACUCUUUCUGUGUCUUGAUUUCCAGUGUGUGCGUGCAUGUUGCAUGUAUGUAAGUAGGUGCUGAUGCACAUGUGUGUAUGUGUGUGGAAGCCAGAGGUCAAACUUAGGUGUUAGUCAUAGGAGCUGUCCACCUUUUUUUUUUUUUUUUAAGCAGGGUCUCUCACUGACCAACCGGCCUGUCUGUCUCUGCCUCCUCAGUCCUGGGAUUACAAGUGUGAACAUCUAUGCAUGGCUUUGUACAUGGGCACCGGGGCUGGAACUCCGGUCUCCACGCUUGCAUGACCUUACCACUUCAAUUUCCCAGCUGAGUCAUCUCCCUAGCCCCAGUUUCCUCCUCUGCUCUGCUUCUAAGUGGUUCCGAAGUCUGAGUGUUGGCAGUUGGAACAGAAUUUGAAGCAACAGCACCCCUUCCAUAUGUCAUCUUGGCUUUAUUUAUUCAGGGCAAGUGUUCUUGAUAUCCAUUGCUUGGGAACCAAGUAGGAUGAUUAAUCUUAAUUGUCAACUUCACCCGAGUGACACAUAGGUAGAAGAUAGUUCAUAAGGCACACCUCUGAGUGUGUCUGCCAUGGCUUUUCCAAGGAAGAGUAGGUUACCAGCACUCUGACCUAAUCAAUGGUUUGAUCCUUGAUAGAUUUAUAGUUGAUGACAUCAUUAAGAAGUGGUGGAAGGUAGGUGGUGGGGUCUAGUUAAAGGGUACAGGUGCCUGGCUCAUGUUUCUCUGACCACUUCCUCAAUCAAUCUCUUUCUUUCUCUCUCUCUCUCUCUCUCUCUCUCUCUCUCUCUCUCUCUCUCUCUCUCUCUCUCUCUCUCUCUCUCCUCCCUCCCUCUCUCUCUCUGUCUUCUCUCCUCUCUCUCCACUCUCUAUUUUCUAUGAAGAGACGCCUCUGGGUUGUGUUACCACCACCAGGACAUUUUGUGCCAGUACACCAUGGUGCCAAGCAAACAUGGACUGAACUCUCUGAAACCAUGAGCCAAAAUAGAUCAGAUUUUACUUUUAGAUUGCAUUGUCAUUAUUUUGUCACAACACAAAAUCUGACCAACUUAAGAAGUGUUUGUAGAGCCACUGAAUGAUGACUCAGUGAGUGCGGGCGUUCACUGCCAGUGCCCUGAGUUCAAUCCCUGGAACCGUGCGAUGGAGGGAGAGAACUGACUUGUGCAAAUUGCCUUCCCACUUUCACAUUUAUGUGAUGUCAUGCAUGAAAUCAAUAAAUAAAUGCUAAAAAAAGAGAAGUGUUUGGGAUUUUGAAAUAUAUACAUCUGAAACCAAGAUAACUUGGAGAUGGGUCCAAGUCUAAACUCAGAACUAUCUUACAUUUCAAAUGCACCUGACACACACAACCUGAUGGUUUCCUUCUAUGGUAGUUUUUAAACAUCUGUUUUGAGUGGGGCACAUGCCAUGAGGUCAGGUGUAGGAUUUCCCACCCGUGGUGUCAUACAGUGCUCACAAGCUUUCCGAUUGGGUGGCGGGAGGCAUUUUGGGAUUUGUAUUUUUGUACUGGAGAGCCCCAAUCUGGGCUCUGAGCAAGGAAGCACGUAGGUCUAGACAGGAGCAAGUAGCU